GGGGCACCCUGAUCAGCAAUGCCGCGUGUGUGAAGAAGGCCUGAGGGUUGUAAAGCACUUUCAGUGGGGAGGAGGGUGUAUUGGUUAAGAGCUGAUAUAUUGGACGUUACCCACAGAAGAAGCACCGGCUAACUCCGUGCCAGCAGCCGCGGUAAUACA
rnacentral:rRNA from 1 species